GCAGUAGCAGGGUGACUUAAGUCUAUGCUAAUUUCCUAAUUUUGGCUAUCAGUCAAACUCAGCAAUUCCUUCCAUAUCUCUUAAGCUCCCCUAGAAAAAGAAGAAAAAUGCAUACAGAGGAAGGUCUGGGGCUGGGAUCUGAGCCAAAGGAAUAAUGCCACCAUCCCACAAACUCUACCAAGGAAAGAUGCGGUCAACCUUAGCAACCCUCUCUUUCUUUAAUUUUCUAAAAGUUAUCAUAUGCUCCAACUCCUGUAAGAAAUUUCUCUCGUAUGUUUAUUAUUUCCUUUUGACAUGCACAAAUUCACAUGCCUGUUUAGUCGAUAAAUAUUGACUGCACAUCUACUAUAUGCCACAACAUGUGUCUCUAGAAACUACGAAUAGGUGCUAUAUACAGAUUAGGUAUGCAUAGCAGUAAUGUGGAAGCUUGCUUACAAUCUUUGGUUGUUACUUUUUGUUUGGGUAGUCAGUCUUCUGUCUACUCGUCUGUAUGUUUCCCCAGCAAAAGAGACUUUGUUUUUUAUUGUUCACCAAUCUCUUAAUCUGGAGAAGGAGAUGGCAGCCCAUUCCAGUGUUUUUGCCUGGAGAAUUCUAGGGAUGGGGGAGCCUGGUGGGCUGCCGUCUAUGGGGUCACACAGAGCUGGACACGACUGAAGUGACUUAGCAGUAGCAGCACAGAUUAGGUAUGUAUAGCAGUAAUGUGGAAGCUUGCUUACAACCUUUGGUUGUGACUUUUUCUUUGGGUAGUCUUCUGUCUACUCGUCUCUAUGUUUCCCCAGCAACAGAGACUUUGUUUUUUAUUGUUCACCAAUCUCUUAAUCUGAGAAGGAGAUGGCAACCCAUUCCAGUGUUCUCUCCUGGAGAAUCCCAGGGACGGGGGAGCCUGGUGGGCUGCCAUCUAUGGGGUUGCACAGAGUCAGACACGACUGAAGUGACUUAGCAGUAGCAGCAAUCUCUUAAUCACAUCUAGCAUGAUGCAAGCAUAGCGUACAUACUCAAUAACUGCUUAUAGAAUUAUCUGUUGGAGAAAUAGAAUUUAAAAAAAAAUCUCCAAAUCCAGAAAUCCUUCUCUCCACAUAGGUAGUAGAGAAAGAAAACAAUUUUAUUACUGAACUGCAUUAAACCAGAAAGUGGUGUGCAUCACAUAAUCUGCUAAGAAAUUGCAAAAACAGAAAGAUAUCUCACCAUUUUAUAUAACCAAGCAGAUACAACCUGUUAAAAAAAUGUUAUUAAGAUAAAAGAGAAUUACUGUUCAAGUAAGAGGAUUUGACAGCACUGUUAAAAGGAUUAGUCCUCAAGUAAGAGGAUUUGACAGUCACUGUUAAAAGAUAAACUGAGGCAUAUUAACCAUUUGUCACUACUAAAAGAUAAACUGAAGCAUACUAAACAUUUUGAGUUUAUUUAAGCAAAAAUCAACUUGAAUCUGCCAGCAUCCAUUCUAGAAGCAAGGAAGGAACAUCGAGAAGCUGUACAAAGUGAAAGACUUUUAUAGUCAGAAGGGAGAAGGAACAAGGAAAUUAUACUGGGCAAAAAAAUAGGGUUAUUUUAAAGUUAUUUUCCUUUAGGGGAUAGUAGGGGUCUAUCAGGCAGAUGACCUAACUAGCGUGAUCAGGUAGUUCCUGAUUAACUGGUUUUAUGGUUCCACUUACGGGACAACUAAACUAUAAUUAACUCACCAUUUGGUGACUUGAGGCUUAGCAUAACUGACUCCAUUUUUGGCCUGUUGUCUUGCUCUUAGCAACACGCAGAGUUCAUCUUAGAUUCACUGGGUAAUUGGGGUGACCAUCUGUAUUAGCUGGCUUUAUACACAGGAAAAAUAAAUUUCUCAUAUCUUUUUCACAGGAGGUAGUUUUGCAACUUAGAGUCUUGCCAGUCACCAAAGUGAGUUUCCUCUCCUUUCAGAGAUACUGAUGUUUAUGUUCCAAAGAAAUGGCUCCCAGGUCACUGAGAAAGACAUUCUAGGUCAUAAAGCUGACCAAAAGACCUAUGUAGUUUUCAAAACGCUGAAUAUACAAUUUAAAGAGAGGAGGAAGUACUUACAAAGUUUCCUACAGUAAAUACUCCAAGAGAAAGAGAAACUUCUGCCCUUACUUUCAAUAGAGAGAAUUUAAUUCUUUUUAGUUUUUAUUUAUCCUUGGAAAUUAGAUUUUAAAAGCUUUGAGGAAAUAAGAACGUUUUCCUUAUUACAAGGAAUUUUCUUCUCUCAUAGUGACACUUCGAAAAUUAUAAGAUUCACCUUGACCACUUCACAGAACUUUGGAAUGGGCAAGAAGGCCCUAGAAGACACCAUUAUAGGGGAAAGCCAGCAUCUUAUAAGGAACUUUGAGACUGACAAAGGAGAGACACAUCUACUGAUUAUUUCAAUGAUGAUACUUUGGUGGUACUUGUUAAUAAUCUGUUUGCAGCAGGUACAGAGAGCAUGGUUUCCACUCUGUGCUGGGGGAUUCUGUUCAUGUCACGAUAUCCUGAGAUCCAGAAAAAGGUCCAUGAUGAGAUUGCCAAAGUCAUGGGGUCCACCCAGCCUUGAAUGGCACACUGAACUCAAAUGCCGUACACAGAUGCUGUCAUUCUCGAAGUGCAGAGAUUUGCUGAUAUCCUGCCCACAGGCUUACCCCGAGCAACCACCACAAAUACUAUAUUUAAAAACAACUAUAUUCCAAAGCAGGUACCAGAUGAAAAUUUGUUAGAGUAUAUGAAUACCCUGCUGCUGCUGCUGCUGCUGCUAAGUUGCUUCAGUCGUGUCCGACUCUGUGCAACCCCAUAGACAGCCUCCUACAAGGCUCCUCUGUCCCUGGGAUUCUCCAGGCAAGAACACUGGAGUGGGUUGCCAUUUCCUUCUCCAAUGCAUGAAAGUGAAAAGUGAAAGUGAAGUUGCUCAGUCGUGUCCGACUCUUAGCGACCCCAUGGACUGCAACCUACCUCAAUCUCAAAUGCCAUCUUCCCCUUCUCUACUUCCUGUUCCUUCUAGAAUACACUGCUUCUCUAAAAUUGCCAACUGAGUCAUCGUAUGUCUCUAAGAGCCACCUUUUUAGGAAGGAAUUUCAUCUUUGUCAUUAAUAACACUUUUAUCUCUAGGGCACUGAGGUCAUCUUUUUGUUGACCUCUGUACUUUGAGAUCAAACACAGUGGGAAAACCCAGCCACCUUUAACCCAGAGCAUUUCCUUGACUCUAUCGAGAAGUUUAUCAAGAAGGAAGCUUUCAUAUCCUUUUCAGUAGAUACUUUUCCCUUAUAUGUUAAGCUGAAACUCCAGUACUUUGGCCACCUCAUGUGAAGAGUUGACUCAUUGGAAGAGACUCUGAUGCUGGGAGGGAUUUGGGGCAGGAGGAGAAGGGGACGACAGAGAAUGAGAUGGCUGGAUGGCAUCACUGACUCGAUGGACGUGAGUCUGAGUGAACUCCGGGAGUUGGUGAUGGACAGGGAGGCCUGGUGUGCUGCAAUUCAUGGGGUCGCAAAGAGUCGGACACGACUGAGCGACUGAUCUGAUCUGAUAGGUUAUUACAACAUUUGAGUAUAGUUUGUUGUGCUAUAGUGCUAUACGAACUUAUUCCAGUUUUUAAACAUCUUGACAUUUCCCCCAAUAAUCCAUAUUUUAAAAAUAGUACUAGCCAAAUACUCUUCUUCAAGUGCCUUAGCAUGAUCUAGUUUCUAGUCAUACAUGCAGUCUCAGGUCUGAGACUCGUGACCUCAUGCUUGGCGUUCUAGUCAGAGUCCUGUUUCUUCCCACCCUCCAAUGCAUCACCACACCUGACUCAUCUUCCCUGUGUGCCUGGCUCACUUCUCUCCAUGUGUACCAGAACUUAGAUACAAAGAUGUCAUACGAAGGUGAGACCUCCUUUAGCUCACUUUCCUAUGGGUUCUCAUCACAUACGUGGUUUUACCUGUUAUAACCUGUUUCACAUUAAAACCUUAAAAUUGUCUCCCUCAGGGGAGCUCUAUUAAUUUUCUAUUUCCAAUGCUUCAACUAGCAGACAGAGCCUAUAAAACUCACAAGAGGUUGACUGACUCACACAUUCUGAAGGAGAAGAAAUCACACAUGGAUGGUUUCCCUCUUUGUCCACACUGUUUUUUCAGAUUUUUGGUCUGUCUUAUAACCCUUCACUACCAUCCACCUCUCUAGGUCCCCUCUCUAGUGUGCUGGGGAGUCACUGGCCAAGAUGGAGCUUUUGCUUUUCUUCAUGAGUCUCCUGCAGAAGUUCACCUUCCAGCCACCCCCUGGGGUCUCCCAUCUGGACUUGGACCCAACCCGGGAUACUGGUGUCGUCAUCCAACCAAUGCCUCACAAGAUACGUGCUCUGCCCCGAGCCAGGGUCUGCGUGCCAGCUACUGUCCCAGUUCUCUGUUAUUUUGCGGUCCUUUGCACUGACUGCACUGUUCUGCACCUUGACAGCUGUGUACUCUGCCGAGUCCUUCACUGCUUCAGCAGGCAGUCACAUCAUCCCAGAGGCCUCUGGUGUUAAGUCAGAUUGGGUUCCUCUGUUAAUCUCUGCAGCAAAAACCUCCUUACUGCCGUUCUCCAAGACAGUACACAUCAACACAACAUUUGACAAAUAGAACCUACUAGUGCCAUAAGGUUUUGCCCUUUAGUCCGAGAAACUGUCCUUUUCCUCCAAGGCAUAUGAGACAUCUAUGUAUUACUAGCUCUAAUUGCUUGGGGCAGGGCAGGGGGUGCAGUUUUAAUUGGUUGGUGCAGGGGAGGGGGGUGCUGUAUAAUGCUUUGUCUAGAAUGCUCAUGAAUAUCUUUAAAACUGCAGUGAAGAAAAUUUAACUCUUAAGCGAGGGUCCCAUUAAACAUAAGAUAUUGGCUUCAUUCAUUGGUUCAGUCAAUAUAGGAUGACUAAUAACAGAUCAUUGCUUGUGAGUAUGACCAAUUUGCUGAGGUCAGAAAAUGAGGUUCCUGCUUCUGACAUAACUGGAACUUGAAGACCACCCCCCUUCUCUAUGUUCAGUGCUCUGAGUCCCAGUAAAGUCAUACCCAAGGGACCUAUGAGCAGAAUAAAGAAAUCAUUGUCAGUUCCCGUGAGACACAAAGCAUCUUUAGCCUUUACAAAUCAAAUGGAUGUCCCUAAUAUCAAUAUAAAUGAUUCUCCCCUGCUCUUAUCUGAUUCCUAUCAAAGCCAAAAUUGCACUGGACAGGGUUAAACAGUAAAAGAAGGUUUUAUUUAAAGCUAUUGCAAUAGGAGAGAGAGGCCAGAAUUUAGUCUGAGCUCAAUUCAACUGAAACAAGGGAGGCAAAGGUUUUUAAGUGCUAACGUGAGCUAGUGGGUUUAAGGGAUUAGAUCUGAUAAACAGAGUGCCUGAAGAACUAUGGAUGGAGGUUCAUAACAUUGUACAGGAGGCAGUGAUCAAAAUCAUCCCCAAGAAAAAGGAGUGCAAAAAGGCAAAUGGUUGUCUGAGAAGGCCUUACAGGUAGCUGAGAAAAGAAGAGAAGCAAAAGGCAAAUGAGAAAAGGGAAGAUAUAUCCUUCUGAAUACAGAGUUCCAAAGAAUAGCAAGGAGAGAUAAGAAAGCCUUCCUAAGUGAUCAAUGCAAAGAAAUAGAGGAAAACAAUAGAAUGGGAAAGACUAGAGACUUCUUCAAGAAAAUUAGAGAUAGCAAGGGAAUAUUCAUGAAAAGAUGGGCACAAUAAAGGACAAAAACAUUAUGGACCUAACAGAAGCAGAAGAUAUUAAGAAGAAGUAGCAAGAAUACACAGAACUAUACAAAAAAAGAUCUUAAUGACCCAGAUAACCACAAUCGUGUGAUCACUCACCUAGAGCCAAACAUCCUGGAGUGCAAAGUCAAGUGAGCCUUAGAAGGCAUCACUAUGAACAAAGCUAGUUGAGGUGAUAGUAUUCCAGCUGAGCUAUUUCAAAUCCUAAAAGAUGAUGCUGCUAAAGUGUUGUACUCAAUAUGCCAGCAAAUUUGGAAAAAACUCAGUAGUGGCCAUGGGACUGGAAAAGGUCAGUUUGCAUUCCAAUCCCCAAAAAAGGCAAUGCCAAAGAAUGUUCAAGCUACUGCACAAUUGCACUCAUCUCACAAACUGGCCAAGUAAUGCUCAAAAUUCUCCAAGCUAGGUUUCAACAGUAUUUGAACCGUGAACUUCCAGAUGUUCAAACUGGAUUCAGAAAAGGCAGAGGAACUAGAAAUCAAAUUGCCAACAUCCGUUGGAUCUUCAAAAAAGCAAGAAAAUUCCAGAAAAACAUCUACUUCUACUUCAUUGACUAUGCUAAAGCCUUUGACUGUGUGAAUCACAACAAACUGUGGAAAAUUCUUCAAAAGAUGGGAAUACCAGACCACCUUACCUGCCUCCUGAGAAACCUGUAUGCAAAUCAAGAACCUACAGUUAGAACUGGACAUAGAACAACAGACUGGUUGCAAAUUGGAAAAGGAGUAUGUCAAAGCUGUAUAUUGUCGCUCUGCUUAUUUAACUUAUAUGCAGAGUUAUGCAAAAUGCUGGGCUGGAUGAAGCACAAGCUGGAAUCAAGACUGCCGGGAGAAAUAUCAAUAACUUCGGAUAUGGAGAUGACACCACCCUUAUGGCAGAAAGCGAAGAGGAACUAAAGAACCUCCUGAAAGUUAAAAGGGAGAGUGUAAAUGCUGGCUUAAAAUUCAACAUUCAAAAAAUUAAGACCAUGGUAUCUAGUCCCAUCACUUCAUGGCAAAUAGAUGGGGAAACAAUGGAAACAGUCACAGACUUUAUUUUCUUGGGCUCCAAAAUCACCACAGAUGGUGACUGCAGCCAUGAAAUUAAAAGACGCUUGCCCCUUGGAAGAAAAGCUAUGACCAACCUAGACAGCAUAUUAAAAAGCAGAGACAUUACUUUGUUGACAAAGGUUCAUCUAGUCAAAGCUAUGGUUUUUCCAAUAGAGUUGGGCCAUAAAGAAGGCUAACCACUAAAGAAUUGAUGCUUUUGAACUGUGGUGUUGGAGAAAACUCUUGAGAGUCCCUUGGACUUGCAAGAUCAAACCAAUUAAUCCUAAAGGAAAUCAGUCCUGAAUAUUCAUUGGAAGGACUGAUGCUGAAGCUGAAACUCCAAUACUUUGGCCACCUGAUGCGAAGAGCUGACUCAUUGGAAAAGAUCCUGAUGCUGGGAAAGAUUGAAGGCAGGGGGAGAAGGGGACGACAGAAGAUGAGAUGGUUGGAUGGCAUCACCAACUCAAUGAGCGUGAGUUUGAGCAAGAUCCAGGAGUCGGUGAUGGACAGGGAAGCCCAACAUGCUGCAAUCCAUGGGGUCUCAAAGAGUCAGAUACAACUAAGGGACUGAACUAAACUGUGAGCUAGUAGAAAAGUCCUGGAGUGCGGAGUGUGGUCAAUGUGUCCUGCACACUGAAUUAUUCUUUCAUUUGCAAAUAUUAUUCUCUGAUUCUAGAUCUGUGUUUGCUCAUUUUUACCAACAGAAGUUAGGCUCCUACUCGCCCUCAGAGCCUGGGAGAUAGGGACACUAAGUUCCUUAGAGGUUAUAUUUCCACGGGAUGUCUCCCAUGUCCUUGAGACAUCCCUGUAUUGUAAAACUGGCAAGAGAUUUUGAAAAAUAUUUACAUUUUAAAGGGGCUGAGAAAUAAUUCAUAAUUAAAAGUGUUCUCAAGUAAAUUCUCUAAGGAAAAGGGAGGUUAAGGUCUAGAGUCAGAAACUAGCCUGCUUAGGUUAAUCAAGGAGAGAAAAGUACUAAGGCCUUGGUCACCCCCAAUCCAGCAUUCUCCACAAACCCUUUUUAGAAUGAGUCAGAUGGGGGACUUUCCUGGUGGUUCAGUGGUUAAGAAUCCACCUGCCUAUGCAGGGGACACGGGUUUGAUCCCUGGUCUGGGAAGAUCCCAGGUGCUGUACGGCAACUAAGCCCUUGUACCACAACUACUGAGCCGUAUCCUAGACCCUGUGUUCCAACACGAGAGAAGUCGCCACAGUGAGGGGCCCACGCACCGCAACUGGACAGCAGCCUCCACUCACCACAACUAGAGAAAGCCUGUGUGCAGCAGCAAAGACCCAGAGCAGCCAAAAAUAAAUAAUAAUUUAAAAAGAAAGGAUGAGUCAGACUGGGGAAUACUCAGGUACCUUGGCUUCCCAGUGGAACUAAAUGAUUAAAAAAAAAAAAAAAAAUGGGGCUUGCUAAUUUUAAUUUGUUUAAGCAUAUUCAAGAGACAGCUGCAUUUUCUGACUUGCCCAUAAUACAUAAUUGGUGUUCAAUAAUAUAUAGUUAAUUCUAAAUCUAAAGUCAAAAUUAAUUCAUGGACUGCUUUCUUUUACAGAGAUCAACAGAAAUAGCUUUGAUUCAAAAUCAGGAAUUUGAGUUCUAAUUCCAAUCCUUUCAGUUCCCCAUUUUUAUGACUUUAUGACUAUAUAUUGGCAGAGGGAUACUUAGUGAAUGUGACACCAGAAGCAGAUGAUUUUUAACAUUAAUAUGAAAAAUGAUAUUCAAUAGUAAUCAUACAGUAAACAAUUUUGAUCCUUUGGUGAGUCUGAUAUAAUUAUUACAUAUGAAGAACUGUCAAGCAGCUAAUACACUUUAAUACAACUGUCUAGUUUUUAUAUUUAGUAGAAAUGUCUACAAAUAAAAACAGAAACUACUAAAUUAUAC
ensembl:lncRNA